GGUAUGUGCCUGCGUAUAUAUGAAUGGUGGUGUAGAGGAACGCAACGUUUGUGCAUCUAGAGGGGACUUUCGAGACUUGGCACUUCGUAUAGUUCUCCCCUUGUGUCGUUUGUUUUGUCCUCCGUACUCCUCCUUGUGAGAGGAACGGGACCGCAGGACCGAGUACGACGAAGACGAACGCGAGAAGUAGUGUUGGUGGUGACGAAGUGACGGCACGGUCACGACGACCUAGCACCUCGUAGGCUGCUCCUGGACGCCGGUGCGGACGACGCCGCUGUUGACGACGGGCGGGCGAGGUGGCGGCAGCCGUGCGACUUUUUCCUACGGGUCCGAACAAGUAGCCUUCAUUUUUAUUUUUAUUUUUAUUAGGUCUCCCUUACUACAACAUGAGUAUGAAUGGACGAGAAGACACUCGUACAUUA
rnacentral:rRNA from 1 species